rnacentral:rRNA from 1 species
AUUUUCCGGUUGAUCCUGCCGGAGGUCACUGCUAUCGGGGUUCGAUUAAGCCAUGCGAGUCGAGAGGGUUCGGCCCUCGGCGUACUGCUCAGUAACACGUGGAUAACCUGCCCUAAGGAAGGGGAUAACCUCGGGAAACUGAGGAUAAUACCCUAUAGGAUACCGAUGCUGGAAUGCCCGGUAUCCCAAAGCUCCGGCGCCUUAGGAUGGAUCUGCGGCCGAUUAGGUCGUUGUUGGGGUAACGGCCCAACAAGCCGAUAAUCGGUACGGGUUGUGGGAGCAAGAGCCCGGAGUUGGAUUCUGAGACACGAAUCCAGGCCCUACGGGGCGCAGCAGGCGCGAAAACUUUACAAUGCGGGCAACCGUGAUAAGGGAACCUCGAGUGCCUGUACAUGCAGGCUGUCUGGGUGUCUAAAACACACCCAAAGAAAGGGCCGGGCAAGACCGGUGCCAGCCGCCGCGGUAAUACCGGCGGCUCGAGUGGUGGCCACUUUUAUUGGGCUUAAAGCGUUCGUAGCUGGGUUGUUAAGUCUCUUGGGAAAUCUGGCAGCUUAACUGUCAGGCGUCUAAGAGAUACUGGCAAUCUAGGAACCGGGAGAGGUGAGGGGUACUUCGGGGGUAGGAGUGAAAUCCUGUAAUCCUCGAGGGACCACCUGUGGCGAAGGCGCCUCACCAGAACGGCUUCGACAGUGAGGGACGAAAGCUGAGGGAGCAAACCGGAUUAGAUACCCGGGUAGUCCCAGCCGUAAACGAUGCGCGUUAGGUGUGUCGAUGACCACGAGUCAUCGAGGUGCCGAAGGGAAACCGUGAAACGCGCCGCCUGGGAAGUACGGUCGCAAGGCUGAAACUUAAAGGAAUUGGCGGGGGAGCACCACAACGCGUGGAGCCUGCGGUUUAAUUGGAGUCAACGCCGGGA